CCUACGGGUGGCAGCAGUGAGGAAUAUUGGUCAAUGGACGAGAGUCUGAACCAGCCAAGUAGCGUGAAGGAUGACUGCCCUAUGGGUUGUAAACUUCUUUUAUAUGGGAAUAAAAUGUUCCACGUGUGGGAUUUUGUAUGUACCAUAUGAAUAAGGAUCGGCUAACUCCGUGCCAGCAGCCGCGGUAAUACGGAGGAUCCGAGCGUUAUCCGGAUUUAUUGGGUUUAAAGGGAGCGUAGGUGGAUUGUUAAGUCAGUUGUGAAAGUUUGCGGCUCAACCGUAAAAUUGCAGUUGAAACUGGCAGUCUUGAGUACAGUAGAGGUGGGCGGAAGUCGUGGUGUAGCGGUGAAAUGCUUAGAUAGCACGAAGAACUCCGAUUGCGAAGGCAGUUCACUGGACUGCAACUGACACUGAGGCUCGAAAGUGUGGGUAUCAAACAGGAUUAGAUACCCCAGUAGUC
rnacentral:rRNA from 1 species